rnacentral:sRNA from 1 species
AGCAGCCGCGGUAAUUCCAGCUCCAAUAGCGUAUAUUAAAGUUGUUGUGGUUAAAAAGCUCGUAGUUGAACCUUGGGCCUGGCUGGCCGGUCCGCCUCACCGCGUGUACUGGUCCGGCCGGGCCUUUCCCUCUGUGGAACCCCAUGCCCUUCACUGGGUGUGGCGGGGAAACAGGACUUUUACUGUGAAAAAAUUAGAGUGCUCCAGGCAGGCCUAUGCUCGAAUACAUUAGCAUGGAAUAAUAGAAUAGGACGUGUGGUUCUAUUUUGUUGGUUUCUAGGACCGCCGUAAUGAUUAAUAGGGACAGUCGGGGGCAUCAGUAUUCAAUUGUCAGAGGUGAAAUUCUUGGAUUUAUUGAAGACUAACUACUGCGAAAGCAUUUGCCAAGGAUGUUUUCAUUAAUCAGGAACGAAAGUUAGGGGAUCGAAGACGAUCAGAUACCGUCGUAGUCUUAACCAUAAACUAUGCCGACUAGGGAUCGGACGGUGUUAUUUUUGACCCGUUUCG